AAUAGUAUUGAGACAGGUUGAAAAACAGACAUUGAACAAAUCAUGUUAACUUGUAAGUAACCAGGAGAUGUGAAAAAUAAACACAAUCAAAUGUAUCCUUAUCAUUGUGGUGAAAAUGUACAAACCCCAACUCCAAUGAAAUUGGGUGUUUUGCAAAUCCUUUUCAUUAUAUGUUCAAUUAAAUACACCACAAAGACAAUAUUUGUUUGAUCAAAUUGAAAAACUAUUGAUUUCCUUUUUUUGCAAAUAUUCACUCAUUGUGAAUUUUAUGUGUGC